UCAGGCACCAUCCACAAAUUAAGUAAGAUAUAGCUCUCUUCACCGUAAUUUUGUCAAGGGGUCCGCAAUGAAAUGGACAAUUACGCCAAGAUAGGCACAUAAGAAGGUGGGGUUUGGGAUCCUCAAGAUCAGCGAUGGCGAUCGCGACGGUGCAUCGACGAGCUUGAUGAGAUGGCGCAUUGACAAGCAAAAAGUCAUGGGGAUUCCCGCUGUUCGUGAGGGGUUGCAUGAUGCGGCUAUGGGGCGGCGGAGGUCCACACAUCAGACGUAUCUAGGCUGUGCGCACAGAUGAUGUUGAGGCUCCGUGACCUCUACAACCCGAGCAAAGACAGCAGCAGUUCGCCACUUCAACUGUUACUCUACUCCAUCCACUAAAUUUUCUUCAGUUCAAUAUCUGCAUAUAUAUGGUGAUAAUUUUAGUGGGCCACAAGGUGUUGGCAAUCGUUGGGUUCUGUAUUCUACAAAAUAUCAGCAGCUUGUUUAAUCUUCAGUUGCGGUGCUUUCAUGUUAUCAUGAAUUGUGGGAAAACAGUAUAUUGUGUGUUCCUUCUUGCAUCCAGCUUGACUGUUUACUCUGGAAGGAGCAGUUCGUGGAGUGGGUCUGAAGCAACUGGGUAGCAGUCAUAAUAUUAGGCUGCUACAGAGGGGGUGGACUUUGAUGUCAGUAUGCUACAAAGGAUGUUGAAGAAAUUGGUGAUUUUCUUUAUUUAAUUAAAGAAAUAGAUUAUAUGAA